rnacentral:misc_RNA from 1 species
CCAGACAUUGCUUCCAUUGAC